UUCAUUUCUGCCAUUUCACCUGGCAGGAGUCCUAGAAAGUGAAAAAGGGUAUGAAGCUUUGACCAACAGUGUGGACAGCAGCCUGUGCGUUAUUCCAUGGCCGCCACAGCCCACGUGAGCACACAGAGCUCUCAGUUUUGUUCAGAAACUGCAGUGGGGGCAAUGGAUCAACUGUCAAACUCUUGCUUCCUGUUACAAGCACCAUUAAAAAUGGAUCAUCUGGGGCUGAUUUUCUGUGAGGCCAGGUGCAGAUGUAAUGGAAGAAUAAAUGCAGCCUACAAUAGCA